UAGCAGUGCUAAAUAAAACCCGACUAUGGCGAGGAUGACACUUAUCAUAGGGAUUCUGGUUGCCGUUUGUGUGGCAGCAGAACCACCAUCUGAGGAUCAUUUAGCUGGAGUUCAGUUUGUACCCCUCGUACAUAAUCCAGGAUAUUACACCAAGGCGUCGUUCCUUCAUAGAUAUGUAAAUAAUGCUGGU